UGCAAGAAAUCUGAGGCGUCUUCUGCAACUUUGUCGAAUAGGGACAUGCAGGUAUGCCUCCUUGAGAUCUAGAGUCACCAGCCAAGACUCCUUGCCCAGCAUGGGAAGAAGUUUCUGUAGGGUCAGCAUCUUGAAUUUUGGCACAAUGAGAUAAGUGUUCAGUGCGGACAAGUCGAGAAU